CAGGAUGUAGCUCAGCUUGGUAGAGCGCUUGUUUCGGGUAUAAGAGGCCAAGGGUUCGAAUCCCUUCAUCCUGACCA
rnacentral:tRNA from 1 species